UAUUCGAGUUUUUUAUACUCUAAAGUAGACUGAUACUGAAAGAACAGAGUAUGUGUAAAAAAAGGAGAAAACUUGACUUUGAUCUCCCCCAGAAAGAGAGAUUGAGAUCGAGUUCCUCCCCCGACAAUGCACACAAGGUGGGUAAUGGGAUUAAAAGUGCCAUAAACACUUAUUGUGAAUGAUCCUUCCGCAGGUUCACCUACGGAAA
rnacentral:misc_RNA from 1 species